rnacentral:misc_RNA from 1 species
GAUUGAUUUGAAGAUCUCUCCUCAUGCCAUACCACGUAUAUAAUUAAAAUUCUAAAAUCACUUGCAUUCAAACUGAUCAAUGCUACGGGGCAUGAACUAAAAGAGGCUAAACUCUCACCUCUCUCUUUCUUUCUCUCUCAGUUGGUGUCGUGGAUACAGUCUAUGAGAUUCCGGUUCUUUUUCCAGUCCCGUAUUAGAAGGUUGAAUUUUCUUUUGCUUGAGUAGUUUGUGUAAUGAAGGGAGGGACUGAUCUUUGAGGUUGGAGAAGCAUUCCCGAUCGUCUCAGGCCUAAGACUUCCAAAGCCUAUCAGCCCACCUUGCCUUUCAGCCUAAUCCGUCUUGGACGUAAUCCUUCUUUCGGUUUGAGCGAGGGAG